rnacentral:rRNA from 1 species
GUGCCUACGGGGCGCAGCAGUGGGGAAUAUUGCACAAUGGGGGGAACCCUGAUGCAGCGACGCCGCGUGGGUGAAGGAGUAUUUCGGUAUGUAAAGCCCUAUCAGCAGGGAAGAAAAUGACGGUACCUGAAGAAGAAGCCCCGGCUAACUACGUGCCAGCAGCCGCGGUAAUACGUAGGGGGCAAGCGUUAUCCGGAUUUACUGGGUGUAAAGGGGGCGCAGACGGCGAUGCAAGCCAGGAGUGAAAGCCCGGGGCCCAACCCCGGGACUGCUCUUGGAACUGCGUGGCUGGAGUGCAGGAGGGG